CUGAUAGAUAGGCAUGCGUUCCAUUAGGCAGUUGGCGGGGUAACGGCCCACCAAACCGACGAUGGAUAGGGGUUCUGAGAGGAAGGUCCCCCACAUUGGUACUGAGACACGGACCAAACUCCUACGGGAGGCAGCAGUGAGGAAUAUUGGUCAAUGGGCGCGAGCCUGAACCAGCCAAGUCGCGUGAGGGAUGAAGGUUCUAUGGAUCGUAAACCUCUUUUAUAAGGGAAUAAAGUGUGGGACGUGUCCUAUUUUGUAUGUACCUUAUGAAUAAGGAUCGGCUAACUCCGUGCCAGCAGCCGCGGUAAUACGGAGGAUCCGAGCGUUAUCCGGAUUUAUUGGGUUUAAAGGGUGCGUAGGCGGCCUUUUAAGUCAGCGGUGAAAGUCUGUGGCUCAACCAUAGAAUUGCCGUUGAAACUGGGGGGCUUGAGUAUGUUUGAGGCAGGCGGAAUGCGUGGUGUAGCGGUGAAGUGCUUAGAUAUCACGCAGAACCCCGAUUGCGAAGGCAGCCUGCCAAGCCAUGACUGACGCUGAUGCACGAAAGCGUGGGGAUCAAACAGGAUUAGAUACCCUGGUAGUCCACGCAG
rnacentral:rRNA from 1 species